UACGUAGGGUGCGAGCGUUAAUCGGAAUUACUGGGCGUAAAGCGUGCGCAGGCGGCUAUGCAAGACAGGUGUGAAAUCCCCGGGCUUAACCUGGGAACUGCACUUGUGACUGCAUGGCUAGAGUGCGUCAGAGGGAGGUGGAAUUCCGCGUGUAGCAGUGAAAUGCGUAGAGAUGCGGAGGAACACCGAUGGCGAAGGCAGCCUCCUGGGAUGACACUGACGCUCA
rnacentral:rRNA from 1 species